ACUGGCUCAAUCAGUAGAGCACAUGACUCUUGAUCUUGGGGUUGUAAGUUCAAGCCUCACGU
rnacentral:tRNA from 1 species